rnacentral:tRNA from 1 species
UCCCUGCUAGUUCAAUAGAGCAGAACGCAUCCUUUUCACGAAUGAAACUGUUGGUUCAAAUCCAAUCGGGGAC